rnacentral:tRNA from 1 species
GUGCAUGGAGCUCGGUUGGCAGAGCACGACACUUCCAAUGUUGAGGAAGCGGGUUCGAUUCCCGUCAUGCACU